CAAAGCAGUUGUAAUCCGGCAUAAGUCGGUCUAAGUAGGGUAAAGCAUGGUCAAAGUAUGUCAAAGUCGUUGUAAGGUGGGUUAAGUCGGGUAAAAGAAGUUGAACAGCAUAUCAAAGCAGUUGUAAUCCAGCCUAAGUCGGUCUAAGUAGGGUAAAGCAUGGUUAAAGUAUGUCAAAGUCAUUGUAAGGUGGGUUAAGUCGGG